rnacentral:rRNA from 1 species
CCCUUAGAUGUCCGGGGCUGCACGCGCGCUACACUGAAGGAUUCAGCGUGCUAAAACCAUUGUCGAAAGGCAUUGGUAAACCCAUUAAAAUCCUACGUGAUUGGGAUCGGGAAUUGCAAUUAUUUCCCUUGAACGAGGAAUUCCCAGUAAGUGUGGGUCAUAAGCUCGCGUUGAUUACGUCCCUGCCCUUUGUACACACCGCCCGUCGCUGCCCGGGACUGAGCCGUUUCGAGAAAAGCGGGGACUGCUGCUGUCGGGGCUUUCGGGCCUUGGCUUCGGUGGAAACCGCUUUAAUCGCAGUGGCUUGAACCGGGCAAAAGUCGUAACA